rnacentral:tRNA from 1 species
GCCUUCGUGGUGUAGUAGUCAGCACGCUCGGUGCGUAUCUGAGAGGUCCGUGGUUCGAGUCCCGGAGAAGGCA